GCAUUUUCUCCGAGUUGAUAUAUCACCGGAGUCCCCCCAACGCAGGGUAGAGCACUGUGGAUUCGUUGUGUGAUAACCAGUUUAGCUCUUGAAUAACGUUCAAUUAAAUUGAAGGCUAUACAAUAAAUAGGUCUCGACUGAUUAUACGGCCCACCAAUGUAUGCUUCACACGGAUUCCCCUGUCUCUGAUUUUUUUUCGGAAGCAUUUGAAAAUACUCUUUCUUCACAUCAACAAUAAAAAUCUCAUUAGUUUUCUCAGAUUUCACUUGAAGCAUUAAAGUCAUACAACCUGAGAAACAUGAAGGUUUCUGUAGCGACGGUGAAUUCAACUCCAUGAGGAAUAGGGGGUAUACCAGACCUAUCUCUGUGUUUCUCAUUCGUUCUCAAGUUCAUGCAAAGUAUGCCCGACUGUCUGAAAGCACAAUGCUGGCUAUGCUAACUCCAAAUGUGUCUUCCAAUCAGCUAAUUACUGCUGAAAAAAACCAAACCCUGCUGUGACUCCUACAUUACUAUGUGAAAUUUGGAUAGUGCAAUGCCUUUCAUGGGAUGAUGUGAUUUCUGUGCUCUGUCUACGAACAGUUCCAGCUGGU